UGUUUCCUACGGGGGGCAGCAGUAGGGAAUAUUGCUCAAUGGGGGAAACCCUGAAGCAGCAACGCCGCGUGGAGGAUGAAGGUUUUCGGAUUGUAAACUCCUUUUGUUAGAGAAGAUAAUGACGGUAUCUAACGAAUAAGCACCGGCUAACUCCGUGCCAGCAGCCGCGGUAAUACGGAGGGUGCAAGCGUUACUCGGAAUCACUGGGCGUAGAGAGCGCGUAGGCGGGAUAGCAAGUCAGAUGUGAAAUCCUAUGGCUUAGCCAUAGAGGUGCAUUUGAAACUGCUAU
rnacentral:rRNA from 1 species